GGUGAACGCUGGCGGCGUGCUUAAGACAUGCAAGUCGAACGGCAGUCUUCGGACUGUAGUGGCGCACGGGUGAGUAACGCGUAACUGACCUACCCCAAAGUCGCGGAUAACGAUUUGAAAGAAUCGCUAAUACGUGAUGUGCUGUCAGAUUGUGUUCUGCCAGUAAAGAUUGAUUGCUUUGGGAUGGAGUUGCGUUCCAUCAGCUAGUUGGUGGGGUAAAGGCCCACCAAGGCGACGACGGCUAGCCGGCCUGAGAGGGUGGCCGGCCACAGGGGCACUGAGACACGGGUCCCACUCCUACGGGAGGCAGCAGUUAGGAAUCUUCCACAAUGGGCGAAAGCCUGAUGGAGCGACGCCGCGUGAGGGAUGAAGGUCUUCGGAUCGUAAACCUCUGAAUCAGGGACGAAAGACACUUCGGUGGGAUGACGGUACCUGAGUAAUAGCACCGGCUAACUCCGUGCCAGCCGCCGCAGUAAGAC
rnacentral:rRNA from 1 species